AGGCCCUCCAUUCCAGGUUUGGGCUGGCUGGCUCUUCCCCACCCUAUGCCUGGGUCUCAACUUUCCUUCCUAUGUGAGCCUGGCCUCUGAUCUCAGGAGGGGAAACUGAGGCUGGCACUUGCUGACACCCAGCCAUCAAGAGCAUCUUUAAGGAAGUAUCUUUUCUUUAUGAGGGGCCUUUCUCCAUCAGUAUCCCCUGCUGGGACUUACAGAUGUGAAUGUAGGGGAUCGUAGAGGUGGGUCUGUGAGAAGGAGGAAGGGAGUAAGUAUGAGUUUUUUGUGUAUGGGGAGCUGUGGCUGAGGGCCUGGCCAAUCUUAGUGCUGGUUCAAACGCAUGUGAGGCUAUCUUCUUGCAUAAACUGGUGGGUGUUUGGCACAUAUAUGUGUUCAUGUCUUAUCUUAGGGGCAUAUACGUACUUACUUGUCUGUGUCCAGAGGGAAGAGCUGUGUAUCAGUAUGUGUGAAUGUGUGUGCACACAUGAUUCCGUGUGCAUGUCACACCCUCUGUAUGCAUGGAGUGCAUUCUUGUCUCGCGGAACUCUGCACACAUAGUAAAUAUUUUGCUGUCGGUUUAUCUUGGCUUCCACAUGUCUCUCUGUCUCAGCUGCCCUUGGUCUGUGGUAUGUGGCUGUGAGCCUUUGCCUCUGCAUCCUGCCUGGAAUGUCACCCCCAGCAUCCUUCCCCACCUUACCCCAAGACUUGAAGACAUAUUAAUCUCAGGCUCAAGGUGGAAGUACCCAGAGAUGAGGUCACUGUCCCUCCAGGUGAUGGGAACUUGCCAUUAAGGACUCCCCAGCAGAACAAAACAAAUGUUCCCUCUCCCCUUGCUCCUCAGGUUCCUACUAAAAGGACUGCCAACCUUCUCACCACUACCCCCAGCCACUCCCCUGGGCCCCUCAGCAGCUCUGGCCCCCCAAGGAGGCCUCUCCCUGGGAAUCUCUGUCAGGGCUCUGCUGCUGCCACCACCAGAAAAACCAGCUCUGGCUCCAGGCCUGGCAACAAUCUCCACCGAGAGCUGGAGUAUGUGGGUGAGUCUGGGGUGAGAAAGGACCUAGGAGGGACGCACCGAAGCUCACCAUCCAGGACAGCCAGACCCAGUGACCCUUCCAACACCCCAGCACCCCACUUCAGCCAGGCCUGGACCAUCACAGAGUCAUCGUAUUUCAGAGCUGGAAGGUCAAUAGAGAUCAUCUGGUCCUAGCUCUCGGUCUACUGAAGUCUGGUUUCAUCGCUGCCCAAGGUUACCAAAUAGAUUAAUAGCAGAAACGGGAUCUGGACCAAGACUCCUGACUUCCCAGUCCAAGGAUUUUUUCAGAGACAUGAAACAUUCCAGGUUCCUGGGAGCCAUUAAGGAGAGUCUACACACAGAAGAGCCAGAAUGGGGGUGGUAGUGGAGGUAGGACCAUCUGAUCCUCAGGCUAGGAGCCUCCAGCCCCCAGAGCAACCUCAGCUCUGUGCAGGUUGUAGCUGCUGCAGCAGCAGCAGAGUGGCCUCCUACCAGGUGCCAGCUUCCUGGGGCAAUCUGGAGCCAGGCUUCCUCCCUUACUGCCAGGCAUUGCAUGAGGUCUAACUAGAAGGGGGUCUCCUGUCCCCUUCCCUGGGCUUCUCUUAGUAAGAACAGUUUUGCCAUCAUGGAAAAGAAAGGCAAGAACCAUGUGAUGCAGUCACCAUUGCAUCUCCAGCAUCUAGUAUCCAGGUUGUACCCAGUGUGCACUCAAAUGUACUAUUCUUCAAUGAACUUAGAGUGAGAACACCAAGACA
rnacentral:lncRNA from 1 species